CACGGAUCCAGAGUUUGAUUCUGGCUCAGGAUGAACGCUAGCGAUAGGCUUAACACAUGCAAGUCGAGGGGCAGCAUGGUCUUAGCUUGCUAAGGCUGAUGGCGACCGGCGUAAGGGUGCGUAACGCGUAUGUAACUUGCCUUUGAGAGGGGGAUAACCCGGAGAAAUCCGGCCUAAUACCGCGUAUUCUCAAGUUGCUGCAUGGCAGUUUGAGGAAAGAUUUAUUGCUCAGAGAUAGGCAUGCGUUCCAUUAGGUAGUUGGUGAGGUAACGGCUCACCAAGCCGACGAUGGAUAGGGGAGCUGAGAGGCUGACCCCCCACACUGGGACUGAGACACGGCCCAGACUCCUACGGGAGGCAGCAGUGAGGAAUAUUGGUCAAUGGAGGCGACUCUGAACCAGCCAAGUCGCGUGAAGGAAGACUGUCCUAUGGAUUGUAAACUUCUUUAGUAGGUGAAUAGAGUCGGGCACGUGUGCCCGUAGGCAUGUAACCUAAGAAUAAGUAUCGGCUAACUCCGUGCCAGCAGCCGCGGUAAUACGGAGGACACGAGCGUUAUCCGGAAUUAUUGGGUUUAAAGGGUGCGUAGGUGGCAGAUUAAGUCAGUGGUGAAAAGCUGUGGCUCAACCAUAGUCUUGCCGUUGAAACUGGUUUGCUAGAGUACAGAUGCUGUGGGCGGAAUGCGUAGUGUAGCGGUGAAAUGCAUAGAUAUUACGCAGAACUCCGAUUGCGAAGGCAGCUCACAAAGUUGUAACUGACACUGAUGCACGAAAGCGUGGGUAUCAAACAGGAUUAGAUACCCUGGUAGUCCACGCUGUAAACUAUGAUUACUCAGAGUAUGCGAUAUAUGGUAUGCUCUCAAGCGAAAGCGAUAAGUAAUCCACCUGGGGAGUACGCCGGCAACGGUGAAACUCAAAGGAAUUGACGGGGGCCCGCACAAGCGGAGGAACAUGUGGUUUAAUUCGAUGAUACGCGAGGAACCUUACCCGGGCUUGAAUUGCAACCGAAUUAUCCGGAAACGGGUAAGCCGCAAGGCGGUUGUGAAGGUGCUGCAUGGUUGUCGUCAGCUCGUGCCGUGAGGUGUCGGCUUAAGUGCCAUAACGAGCGCAACCCUUAUCCACAGUUGCCACCAGGUUAUGCUGGGGACUCUGUGGAGACUGCCGUCGUAAGAUGCGAGGAAGGGGGGGAUGACGUCAAAUCAGCACGGCCCUUACGUCCGGGGCUACACACGUGUUACAAUGGGGGGUACAGCAGGCUGCUGGGCGGCGACGUCCGGCGAAUCCCUAAAUCCCCUCUCAGUUCGGACUGGAGUCUGCAACCCGACUCCACGAAGCUGGAUUCGCUAGUAAUCGCGCAUCAGCCACGGCGCGGUGAAUACGUUCCCGGGCCUUGUACACACCGCCCGUCAAGCCAUGAAAGCCGGGGGUACCUGAAGUGCGUAACCGUUUAGGAGCGCCCUAGGGUAAAACCGGUGAUUGGGGCUAAGUCGUAA
rnacentral:rRNA from 1 species